AUUGAACGCUGGCGGCAUGCUUUACACAUGCAAGUCGGACGGCAGCAUAAAAGAGCUUGCUCUUUUGAUGGCGAGUGGCGAACGGGUGAGUAAUGCAUCGGAACGUACCGAGUAGUGGGGGAUAACUGUCCGAAAGGAUGGCUAAUACCGCAUAUUCUCUGAGGAGGAAAGCAGGGGACCUUAGGGCCUUGCGCUAUUUGAGCGGCCGAUGUCUGAUUAGCUAGUUGGUGGGGUAAGAGCCCACCAAGGCGACGAUCAGUAGCGGGUCUGAGAGGAUGAUCCGCCACACUGGGACUGAGACACGGCCCAGACUCCUACGGGAGGCAGCAGUGGGGAAUUUUGGACAAUGGGCGCAAGCCUGAUCCAGCCAUGCCGCGUGUAUGAAGAAGGCCUUCGGGUUGUAAAGUACUUUUGUCAGGGAAGAAAAACCUGAGGAUAACACCCUCAGGUCAUGACGGUACCUGAAGAAUAAGCACCGGCUAACUACGUGCCAGCAGCCGCGGUAAUACGUAGGGUGCGAGCGUUAAUCGGAAUUACUGGGCGUAAAGCGAGCGCAGACGGUUAUUUAAGCAAGAUGUGAAAGCCCCGGGCUCAACCUGGGAACUGCGUUUUGAACUGGGUAACUAGAGUGUGUCAGAGGGGGGUAGAAUUCCACGUGUAGCAGUGAAAUGCGUAGAGAUGUGGAGGAAUACCGAUGGCGAAGGCAGCCCCCUGGGAUAACACUGACGUUCAUGCUCGAAAGCGUGGGUAGCAAACAGG
rnacentral:rRNA from 1 species